AGCUCCAAUAGCGUAUAUUAAAGUUGCUGCAGUUAAAAAGCUCGUAGUUGCAUUUCCGAGGCAAGGGAUUAGUCCGACCUUUGGUGGGUAUUUAAUCCUCUUGCCUCGUCCUUGAGUGGUGCUUCUUGGUAUUAAGUUAUCGAGGAGAUAGCCGCUCAUCGUUUACUGUGAGAAAAUUAGAGUGUUCAAAGCAGGCUUAUGCCGUUGAAUAUAUUAGCAUGGAAUAAUAAGAUAGGACCUCGGUACUAUUUUGUUGGUUUGAGAACCAAGGUAAUGAUGAAUAGGGACAGUUGGGGGUAUUCGUAUUCAGUUGUCAGAGGUGAAAUUCUUAGAUUUACGGAAGACGAACUACUGCGAAAGCAUUUACCAAGGAUGUGUGCA
rnacentral:rRNA from 1 species